rfam:Rattus norvegicus chromosome 4, whole genome shotgun sequence.
GGGGAUUUAGCUCAGUGGUAGAGCACUUGCCUAGCAAGCGCAAGGCCCUGGGUUCGAUCCCCAGCUCUG